rnacentral:lncRNA from 1 species
CUCUGACAGCGGAUUUGUCUCUGUUAUUAGAUUUGUAACCUUUAUGUAAUGUAAAUAUGUUGAUAUGUCUUUUUCAGUUUGCUGAAAAACUCUUGAAAGGGCAAACAGUAGCUUUUCCAGCCACCAAAAAAGCAGUAAAUGAGCACAGACUGCAAAUUUCAACCACGCUUCUCCUAAAGACUGAUGACCUCAAAGACAGGUGUCACUACUGUGGGGAAGAGGAGCAUGACACAGACCAGAAUUGGGUAACAAAAUCAAUUACAAAUGAUCGCUGCUGCGCAGCGAUGGGUUGGGUCCAGGCUAUUUUUUGCAAAUUUAGGCAAUUCUGAGCAACAAACAGGAGAAUAGGACGACAAGACAGUUGAAAACAAUGUUCAUUUUGGACCACUUUUUGAAAAAAAAACUGAGUGACGUACUUCAUAAUUUUUUAUAGUUUUAAAUGUACAAAAGUUUCUUCAAUAUUGAGGCUACAGUUUGAUGAAAGUUCUGAAGCUGUGGUUGAUUUGUUAUGAAUUUUCAAAGUUUUGAACUUUAGAUGCUUGCUGUAGCACCACCAUCAGGACUAUUGGCUUGAGUUUACAGUUGAGGUAAUCUGGCAUAAGACUGGACCCAGCUGUUGUCAAGGCAGAUUUCAAAAAUGGUCAAAAUGUCAGAAAUUCUGUUACCUGAACAAAAAUCUGAUAAUACAUAAAUUGCAUCUUGACAGCAUGGAAAUGUUGGUGAUUUGUUUUUAACUCUAAGUGUUUUGCUUCAUAAGAGAAAAUCUGAUGUUUAAAAAUGCCACUCUUACAUUGACUCCAGUUGUUCCCAUGAGAGCAGAAUUCAAAAUGUUCUCAAAAAUUCAGUUUUUGAGAUGAAAUUCUGAUAUUUGCCAAACUUCAUCAACCAUGACUCCAAAAUAUUCUCUAUUUAUUUCAGGAAGAUUAAAAAGGUAUUUAGCAAGAAUUUGAUAGUAUAUGUUUACAGUGCUGUUUACAGUCAAACAUUUUGAUGCACUGUAGGCUUAAUUUUUGAUAAAUAAAAAAUCCGAGAAACAAGUUUUGUGGAGGACGGUCUGAAGAUGCUCUCUGGCAAGUUUGGGGACAAUUGAGCAAAAAUUGUGGGAGGUUUUGAAAAAGAACUCCUUGGAAUUAAGUAAAUCUGGCGUGGGGCCGGACAUUUCUGUAAAGUUUGGUGAGUUU